UACGGAUGGAGCAAGCGUUGUUCGGAAUCAUUGGGCAUAAAGCGCAUGUAGGCGGCUUUGCAAGUCGGAUGUGAAAUCCUCCGGCCCACCCGGAGAACUGCGUUCGAUACUACAAGGCUUGAGUGAAGAAUGGGAGAGAGGAACUCCUGGUGGAGCGGUAAAAUGCGUAGAUAUCAGGAGGAACGCCGGUGGAGAAGUCGUCUCUCUGGUCUUUUACUGACGCUGAGAUGCGAAAGCUAGGGGAGCAAAC
rnacentral:rRNA from 1 species